rnacentral:ncRNA from 1 species
CCAGAGGAAACUCUGGUGGAAGUUCGUAGCGGAGAAGACGUGCAAAUCACUCGUCUGACUUGAGUGUAGGGGCGAAAGACUAAUCGAACCAUCUAGUUGCUGGUAACAACCGAAGUUUCCCUCAGGAUAGCUGGCAUUUGUUUGUAACAAUUUUAUCCGGUAGAGCGAAUGAUUAGAGGUGUUGGGAACGCAAUGUUCUCAGCCUAUUCUCAAACUUCGAAUGGGUAAGCAAGGCGUUUUGCUUUGAUUUUACGAUGAAAUCGCCCAAUUAGAAUGUAUAAAUGCCUAGUGGGCCAAUUUUGGUAAGCAGAACUGGCGAUGUGGAAUGAACCAAAUUUCUUGUUAAGGUGCCAGACAUUGGCGCUCAUGAAAUACCAGAAAAGGUGUUGGUCGAUAUAGACAGCAGGACGGUGGCCAUGGAAGUUGGAAUCCGCCAAGGAGUGUGUAACAACUCACCUGCCGAAUCGACUAGCCCUGAAAAUGGAUAGCGUUUGAGCUCCAGGCCCAUACCUGACCGUCUCAAUUACGCACUUUUUUUUCGGAAAAGGUGUAAUGAACGUUGAGACGGGUAGGAAGGUCGCGACAGUGUUGCUUUGAAGAGUUUGAGCGUGAGCUCGCUCGGAGCCCGCUGUUGGGUGCAGAUCUUGGUGGUAGUAACCAAAUAUUCAAGUGAGAACCUUGAAGGGCUGAAAUGGAAGCAAGGUUCCUUGUGAACAGCAGUUGGACAUGGGUCAGUCCAUCCCUAAAAAAAACGGCGAAAAGCUUGGUUCCAAAUUUUGGGAAAAUGAAAUUGUUAAAAAUGGAAAAAAAAAAUUGGGGGGGGGGGUUGGGGGGGGGAAAGGGAAAUUUGUUCCCCCCCCCCAUUUUUUUUUUUGGGGGGCCUUUUUCCCAAAUUUUUUUCAAAAAGGGAGAACCCGGUGUGUAAUAUUCUCCGGACCCCCGAAAAAACGGGAACAAAAAAAGAAGACCCCUUUUUAAAUUCCCCUUGGGGGGGGGGGGGGGGGGUAAACCACCAACAUCGCGGGGGGGAUGCCCCGGGGGAACUCCCUAAAAAAAAACCCCCCCCGUGGGUGUUUUUUAAAAAAAAAAAAUU